rnacentral:lncRNA from 1 species
AACAAAUAAAACCCUAAGACACUCUUCUUGGACUUGACUUAAACACAUAAGGCUCAAGCCCAAUCACACACUAAAAUAACACAUAAUAUUAAAACAUAAGCCCAAAAUAUGGCCCAACACUCUAAAACUUAAAAGAUAAAAUAUGGCCAGAAUACAAGCCCAAACAAAGCUAAAAUAAAAUAAGUGUUCAAAUAAUAAAACAUAGCAAGCCCAUCAUAACAAAGCUGAAACUUCACAAAAGCCUUACUUGAUCUUCACUUUAGGCUUCCCUUUGUAUAGUUUUA